rnacentral:rRNA from 1 species
UACGUAGGGGGCAAGCGUUGUCCGGAAUCAUUGGGCGUAAAGCGCGUGUAGGCGGUUCGGUAAGUCUGCUGUGAAAGUCCAGGGCUCAACCCUGGGAUGCCGGUGGAUACUGUCGGACUAGAGUACGGAAGAGGCGAGUGGAAUUCCUGGUGUAGCGGUGAAAUGCGCAGAUAUCAGGAAGAAUACCAAUGGCGAAGGCAGCUCUCUGGGACGGUACUGACGCUGAGACGCGAAAGCGUGGGGAGCGAACAGG